GCAAGUCGAGCGAGACCUUCGGGUCUAGCGGCGGACGGGUUAGUAACGCGUGGGAAUAUACCCUUCACUAUGGAAUAGCCUCGGGAAACUGAGAGUAAUACCAUAUACGCCCUUCGGGGGAAAGAUUUAUCGGUGAAGGAUUAGCCCGCGUUAGAUUAGAUAGUUGGUGGGGUAAUGGCCUACCAAGCCUACGAUCUAUAGCUGGUUUGAGAGGAUGAUC
rnacentral:rRNA from 1 species